rnacentral:rRNA from 1 species
GAGUUUGAUCCUGGCUCAGAUUGAACGCUAGCGGCAUGCUUAACACAUGCAAGUCGAACGGUAACAGGCGGAGCUUGCUCUGCGCUGACGAGUGGCGGACGGGUGAGUAAUACUUAGGAAUCUGCCCAGUAGCGGGGGACAACAAUCGGAAACGGUUGCUAAUACCGCAUACGCCCUACGGGGGAAAGCAGGGGAUCUUCGGACCUUGCACUAUUGGAUGAGCCUAAGUCAGAUUAGCUUGUUGGUGGGGUAAUGGCCUACCAAGGCGACGAUCUGUAGCUGGUCUGAGAGGACGAUCAGCCACACUGGAACUGAGACACGGUCCAGACUCCUACGGGAGGCAGCAGUGGGGAAUAUUGCACAAUGGGCGCAAGCCUGAUGCAGCAAUGCCGCGUGUGUGAAGAAGGCCUGCGGGUUGUAAAGCACUUUCAGUAAGGAGGAAAAGUAUGUAGUUAAUAACUGCGUACCCUGACGUUACUUACAGAAGAAGCACCGGCUAACUCCGUGCCAGCAGCCGCGGUAAUA